rnacentral:rRNA from 1 species
GGGGAAUAUUGGACAAUGGGCGAAAGCCUGAUCCAGCGACGCCGCGUGAGCGAUGAAGUAUUUCGGUAUGUAAAGCUCUAUCAGCAGGGAAGAAAACGACGGUACCUGACUAAGAAGCCCCGGCUAACUACGUGCCAGCAGCCGCGGUAAUACGUAGGGGGCAAGCGUUAUCCGGAUUUACUGGGUGUAAAGGGAGCGUAGACGGCAUCACAAGUCAGAAGUGAAAAUCCGGGGCUCAACCCAUGAACUGCUCUCAAAACUGUAUCCCUUGAGUAUCGGAGAGGCAAGCGGAAUUCCUAGUGUAGCGGUGAAAUGCGUAGAUAUUAGGAGGAACACCAGUGGCGAAGGCGGCUUGCUGGACGACAACUGACGCUGAGGCGCGAAAGCGUGGGGAGCAAACAGGAUUAGAUACCCUGGUAGUCCACGCUGUAAACGAUGAAUACUAGGUGUGGGAGGACUGACCCCUUCCGUGCCGCAGUUAACACAAUAAGUAUUCCACCUGGGGAGUACGACCGCAAGGUUGAAACUCAAAGGAAUUGACGGGGGCCCGCACAAGCAGUGGAUUAUGUGGUUUAAUUCGACGCAACGCGAAGAACCUUACCAGGAUUUGACAUCCAACUAACGAAGUAGAGAUACAUCAGGUACCCUUCGGGGGAAGUUGAGACAGGUGGUGCAUGGUUGUCGUCAGCUCGUGUCGUGAGAUGUUGGGUUAAGUCCCGCAACGAGCGCAACCCCUAUUGUUAGUUGCUACGAAAGAGCACUCUAGCGAGACUGCCGUUGACAAAACGGAGGAAGGCGGGGACGACGUCAAAUCAUCAUGCCCCUUAUGUCCUGGGCUACACACGUAAUACAAUGGCGGUCAACAGAGGGAAGCAAAGCCGCGAGGUGGAGCAAAUCCCUAAAAGCCGUCUCAGUUCGGAUUGCAGGCUGCAACUCGCCUGCAUGAAGCUGGAAUUGCUAGUAAUCGCGGAUCAGCAUGCCGCGGUGAAUACGUUCCCG